rnacentral:rRNA from 1 species
AACGAACGCUGGCGGCGUGCCUAACACAUGCAAGUCGCACGAGAAAGUUCUUCGGAACGAGUAAAGUGGCGCACGGGUGAGUAAUCCAUAGGAACGUGUCUUUAGGAGGGGAAUAACAACGGGAAACCGUUGCUAAUACCGCAUAAUCAGGUAACUGCAAAGACGGCCUCUAUUUAUAAGCUGUCACCUAAAGAGCGGCCUAUGUCCCAUUAGCUAGUUGGUGGGGUAAAAGCCUACCAAGGCAACGAUGGGUAGCUGGUCUGAGAGGACGAUCAGCCACACUGGAACUGAGACACGGUCCAGACUCCUACGGGAGGCAGCAGUGGGGAAUAUUGCACAAUGGGCGCAAGCCUGAUGCAGCAACGCCGCGUGAGUGAAGAAGGCC